AGAGUUUGUUUUCCUGGGGGUUCAAGGGUGUUUAGUUCUAUUCCUUAAUCUUCAGAAAGUGUAGAUGAGGCAACGAGAAGUAAUAAUCAAAGCAGAGAACCCUGAUCUAAGUAGAUCAGACGCUCCAGAGAGCCUCCUGUUGUGUUCAGCAAAUGCCUACAGAAUCUGUCAGUGCUGGUUUGUAUUAAAGUGCUGCCUGACGGGGCUGGGAUGGGUCGUCAGGGAAGGUUACAGGACGCUCCAUGAUAAGUGUGAGGCCACCUGUUGUAUCUGGACAAGACAAGAUCUGACGUGAAAGAUAGCUGGAGGUGUUCCUGUUGUUUCCCUGUAUUACAUUCUCUCUCUUUUUUUUUUUAAUGCAGUUAUGUUCUCACAGAGAAGUACCUACAUUCUGGUUUUGUCUUAGUUUGUGUUUCCCAAGUGGCUUGCGUGCGCAUGUGCGUGCGUGUGUGUGUGUCGGAGGAAUCUCUACAGUCUUCACUUAUUUUAUUUAUAGCUUUCAGGUUAAUGUUGUUGCUUUUGAUUAUUCAUAAAGAGCUUUAUCAAACUGUUUACAGCUAGGUAAAACUGGAGGGGGAAAAAACUGUAUUUAAUUAUUGAUAUGGCCAGUCUGGUUCAUGGUAGAUGUUGUCCAUGUGUCUUCCAGUACACAGACAAAAGCUUGCUUGAACACUUUUUUCUCAGUUUCUGGGCUGCUUUCUUAAAUGACAUAUGUUUUGCAAGUUUCUUACUUCAGGGUUAAGUAUAUGAACUUUGGCUGAAGGCUGACUGCAGGGAUAGACUAUGUUAAGAGGAUUGAAAAUUUACAUUCAGUAAAAUAGCGACCCUUGAGGAUGGCCCAGCUGCCUCAAAUGCCAUCAGCAGGCUUGGAGCUGGUCACCAGCAUUUGGGUGAAGGUGGUGUGCUCAGGGCAGAGCCUUCUCCCAGGAACACAGUCAGUGUUCUCCCUUUCGUUUGCCUGAUUUUCUUUGCUUUGAAGCUUUUCUGCAUAGUCACGCUGGAAUAAAAAAAAAAACAAACCACACUCCAAAAAACAAAAAGGUUAUGCUGUGUAUUUGCCUCGGACUCCUAACCCAGAGGUAAGGGUCUCUCCUGGCUGACUGAUGUCCCUUCAGCCAGGGUAGAAUUUUAAAGGGUCUGUGUGGCUCAGAUACAUUUCCAGCUGACAGCUCUGUUGCACAGGGUUGUUUUAAAUGCGAGUUAACUGUCAACACUGAAGCACACGGCAUGAGGAGAAAACUAAAGUAGUGAAGUGGAAGUUUGGCUGUGGAGCACUUCUGAGGCUUCUCGUGGGGCGCGCCGCAGCCGGAGCAGCCAGCCAGAGCCGGGUGACACUGCCGUCCACGCCGAGGAGGAGCUGCAGCCAGGCACUGCCUUCCUCCCCGUGUUUUUCUGCUGGGGCGUUGGGCUCACGUGGCCUGAAAUGAAUGAAAAAAUUUGGCAACCUGAUUGGCAGGUCAGCCUUGAGAGGCAGCCAAGAUGUGUGGUGGUUAUCGGCAGAUCCUGGGCAUGGCAUCACCUGUGCCACACAAUAAACACAGAUGUGGCAGAGAGCAGGAUUUGAGUGGGAAGCAAAAGCGGCUUUUGCAUAGAUGCAUGACUGGAAAAUGUAGUAAACCAAGCAAAUUGCUUACCAAAAGCUUAAAUAGGAUUCCUCUGGUAUCCAGCAGGAUUCAGAAUGAGUGAGUGAUUUGUAAACCAGCACAUCCACAAAGAGAAAUAGCCUUGCUGAAACUAGCCAGGCAGUGCCUUAGCAGUGUAGUGAAAUCACUUCAAUAAAUAACUUAUUUUUUUAAAUAAUACUUUAAUGCUUCAGAUUGUUAGCAGCAUAUUUGUGUAGCCUUGAACUUCUCAAGUGUGUUUUAAAGCAAAAUACUUAAACAGCAUUUUCUGUGUUUGUAAAGUCCUGACUUCAAAGUGAUGCUGCAUCUUGUACAGGUCUUGAUGAAUCACCAAUGCCCAAGGCUGCACAGAGGAUCCAGGCUGGGCUUUGUUUUAGGUGUUAGUGAUUCAUCAGUAGGUUCUGGGGAAAUAAACUGGAACACUGGUCAGGUCAGGCAUAAGAGCCUUCUGUUCAUCUUUUAAUCCUGGAAAAUAAAAUAGAUUUCCAACAAAGAAAAAAAUAGAAAAAAAGAAACAGCAGAAAAGUAUUGCAUAAAAGCAGUAGAGGGAAGAUUACUCUGAACUCAGCAGAGGAGAGCAGUUAUCACUGCAGUGGGUAAAGGCAGGCUUAGUUUUGAACCUUUUUAGAGCAAUGAAGAGAAGAGUUACUUGGCCAAGAUCAAAGGUCUGUUCUUAACUAUAGCUUGUUAAUUGGUGCGCUGGAUAUUGCUAUUUAGGUACCAAUUUGGUGACUAUUAAGAAUUUUUCCAAAGAUGAUGGAAGUGUUCCCAACAAGCUUUGCCAUACCAGUUCCACUCAGUAUUGAUGUAUUCACGCCUACAGAAAUCUCCAUGGCCAGGACAGUCAGGUCUUGCACCCUAUGACUGAAGGACCCUGGGCUUCUGCAGCUGGAGUGGGAAGUCAGAAGGUUCCAUGAGCAGGGAGCAAGGUUUCCUCUCUGUGUGUGGGUCUGGCUGAGCUGUGGCUGCUGCCAGGGUCCUUGAGCUGAGUUGUAAAAAGCAUCCUGGCUUAUUCCUGUGCACUGUGCUCUGCAACAGAGUCCACAUCUGGUCUGAGACAGCAGAUCCCUCCCUCCCUUCUCCAUCAGCCUGAUGUGUAAGGGCCAGACUGCAGCCAGAACCAAGUUAGCAGAUUUAGAGGCACUAUAACCACAGUGGAACCACGUCUUCAGUUUGAUACAGCAGAUCAUUUGCCAUGAAAUACCAGUGAGGCAGUUGUUAGCACCAGCCCUGACUGAAGUCUGGGAAUGAGUCAGCUCUUGGGAAUUUAUUCAUAUCUAGUCAUAGCUGUUGGAGAGAAGAUGCAUUUUUCUGCCUGCCUUAUUUGUUAUAAACAAUGCACAUGUUAUCCUUGUGAAACAAAAGUAAUAUGUCUGCCAAACAAAGUGUUGAGAGACUGAACCUCAACAAAUGCAGAUAAAUUCAGAAAUUAAGUCUCAAUUUUCAACAGUGAGGAAAAUUGACCAAGAGGUCAACAUAUAAAGAGAUUUUUUGCACUGAAUCUCCAUCACUGUUGAUUUUUAUAUGAAGAUUAGAUGCUUCUUUACAAGAUACACUUUAGAUCAAACAACAAUCAAUUCAGGGAAGUUCUGUGGCUUUUAUUAUGCAAGAGGUCAUGUUGGGUAAUUUCAAAAGGUCCCUUCUGGCCUUCUCUAUGAAAAAAAAUACCAUUAAAAAAAUCACAGUUUGUAUAAAAUACAAUUCUCCUCUUGCCUGAUGCUAAAUGAAUUGCAAAAGCAUGUUUGAAGGAAUCUAGCAGAUUGUUAAAAACAUUUUUAAGAAACUGCAGCUGUGCUGGAGACUGAGACACACUGUAAGGUUAAUCAAAUAAAAUUUGUUUCUGGUAGGCUAAAUAUGUAUUCAUAACCCAUGUGGUUACAAUUUAUCUCGCUGUUGAUGUCUUUGAGGACAUAGUUUUAAAAUAGAGAUCCAAAGUCCUAUGUCACAUAGUUCACCUGUGAAUUGCUCUUUUAUCUCCUGUACAGCUGACAGUGCAGUGUUGGGGAGCAUGUACUCUGCAGUGCUGUGGGCUUUCUUUGUUUACUUUGUUUGGUUUACCUUGGUGUCAUCUCUGUUAGUGAUGACAAGGUCAAAGAAAUUUAGCCUCCACCAGGAGCUUGCUGUGGGGUGAAUAGGGAUACUCUUUACUGCCCUGGAGAGGGGCAGGAGUCCCUUUUGCAUCUGCCUGGCUGUUGCCUUCACCUGAUGAGCUGAGCAGUUGACUGCCAUCCUCAUUGAACAACUUGGCUCAGUCUUUCAAGUUUUCAGGGACAGGGCUCUGGAACAGCUCAGACAGAGGCCAAGACCUUGUAUUAAACGUCCUGUUUGCUGGGAAGGAGAAACAGGAGCCACAGAGAGUAUGUGUUGGACCAUCCCUGUGAUGCUUGGUUGGUGUUGCUGGUGGUGUGCACAGCAACCUGAGCUGCAGCCACCACUGCAGUGCAGUGUCCCCAGGGCUCUGAGCCGACUGCUCUCCAGCAGGGAGCAUUUUGUGGUGCUGCAGGUCACUCAAAGUGUGCAGUGACUGGCCUGGUCCUUGCUGCCCUAUGCCCUGAAGGUGAGGGGAAGAUGGAGAGCAGGAGAAUUCCCUGUGGUUUUACUGUCACUCUACCCUGGAAAGCUGUGGCACCUCCAGGAAGGUACUGCAGGAUAUGUGGUGCAGCCCUAGCAUCUCUUAAUUAUUGUUUUUAGUAACCAUAGUCACCUAAAAGGUUAGGCAAUGCAACAUUAUUUUUGUUUUUUUAUUUGUUUUAUUAUUUGUUUUCACUUUAGUCCUUUUGUUCUUCUGUUCCCUUAAACACAUAUUCUCUAGAGACAGUUCUGUGGAUGCUGAAGAAGACACUGCAGAAACCCCAGCUCGGAUCUGAGAGAAAUGUGGUAAAGGCUCAUGUCUGAGACAUUUUUCUUAGAGACAAAAACCACAGUAACCUGGAUAGGUAAUAUUAAGGACUUUUAUCACCAGUUACGUAAAGACACUGUGAUAAUUUCUCUCAUGCAUGAGUACAGAUUAAUAGUACCUCUUCUCUUGAUUUGCAGGACUUAGUGCUAUAGAACAGCCAAGCUGAGUUUCAUCCUCACGUGUACUUCAGAAAAGUCUAAAACUAAUUACAUUUAUUAAUGCUGUUCAAGGUUCAUCACACAGUGGUUAUGGGAUAGGAUGGGGCCCAUGCAGCUCUUAUGUUUGUAUCACAUGAAGCAAGUCACAGCACCUCUGAGCAUCUCCUUUUGUGCCAUCCUCUCCCCAUCUCUUCAUUUUCCUGUAAUUUUCUUGAGCUAGAGACUCCCUCCUGAGGCAGGUGCUGUUUCUUAUGUAUUCCUAGUGUGUCUAGCCCCAGCUGGGAUUGUAAGAUGCUGCUGUAAUACAAACAAACAAAUAAUAAUAACUAGAGAUAAGAAGAAAAAGUAUCCAGCUUGAAAUAUGGAUCCCAAGGUGCUUGACAGAGAGAAAACUAAGCAAAUCUUACACAGAGGUCAUUGAAGGAAAAUAAAUAAGCGUGCUCAGCUGCUAGAUUUACAGGCUCCCAAGAAAGCUGCAAUUAAUAAAAUACAUUAAUUGAGAAGUGUGAAGAAUAUCUUAAAGCUUAAUGCAUGGAAAAUAUGUCUGUAUACCCAGAAAAUAAACAUCACAUUGUGAAAAGGCAAAGUUUAUAUUGCAUAGCAUAACCAAGAUUAGAAUGACUCCUGUAACUAAGUAAAAUUUAUGAUGCACUGACAUGAGGCACAGAACACUUUACCAGUAUGUAAUACAUUAGUCCUGAUGCAGUACUUCAGUGUUUCUAAUGGAGUCACAAACUUAAAACAUUUUAAGGAUGGCUGCUUGUGAUUUUGUUUUUACCAAUGCAGCUAAAAAGCCUUUAAGUAGCUGUGGUAGAUCUUGAAGCUGUAACUGUUCUUUCCACAUGGACAUUUCACUUUUUCAGAAGCCCCUCAUAACUGUGGAGGGUUUGUUGGCUUUUUUUUUUUUUUUCCAUCAAGCGUUUCUUGUUGCAGUUGAGCAAGAACAAGUUCCCUACAUUUCCUGUGGAAAGAGAGAAGAGGGGGUUGGUACAACCUAACUUCUGCAUUUUCCUUUCAGUCAGGCACAAUUUCUUUACUUUGUAACCACUGAAAAAGACAUUUUUAUGCAGAUCACAGUUCUGUUUAUUAUUAGGUUGAUUGAUCCCUAUAUAUUCCUUAUAUGUUUUCUAGUGUCUUCAAAUGGUUCAGGAUUGGGACUUAAGACUUUUUUAAUUAAGCAGAUUUAUUAUAUCUUUCAUUUAUUUCCUCAGCUACAUGAAUUAAGCUUCUUGGAGUGAUUUUCAUAGAUUCUGUUCUUUAAUCCUGAAAGCAGCUUUGUUCUCUCUUGUACCUUAAGAUCAGUUAAAACAUUUUUAGGAGGGGAAAGAGAAAGGUUUCAGACUGAAAACAAGGCUAGGAUUUGGCAGAUCCAGGAGAGGAUGAUGAUUGAUCAGAAGGUCCAGUCUUGAUAGUGUGGAGUUUUAUGAUACAACUUCUUCCAUUAGAAGAGAUAGAGAGAACCUGCUAGGUCAUAGAGAUAAGGUGUCCAUCAGUGUUACUGUGAAUUCACUUAAUUAGGGCUCAUAUCUUACCUUCUUCUGUCCCAAAAUUAGAAACUUGGAAAAUGGAUGAUUCCAGCUGAUUUGAGAGCAGGACUAUAAGCCUUAACUCUGGAUUUCUUCUUGCAUAUUAACUGCAGUCCGUAAUAUUGUUCUGAGUAUGCUUUUUUGUGAUGGAUUGCUUUUUUUUGGCUUUUAUUUUGCAUCUGACAUUGGUGCCCCAGCCCUCUGCCUCCCGGUUGCUCUGCUGUUUGACUCUUCCUAACACUGCCAUGGUGUUUGCAAGAGUGAAUUCUGCUAUUACUCCAGGGUGCUUUCAAAGUCCUUCUUGUGGUCAAGUUCAAUUCCAUUUAUUUUUGACAUGUGUUUCCUACUUCAGAGACUGCAAUGCAUUGCUUUAUAUUUCUGUCAAACUUUGUUUCAUAAAAACUUUAUGAUUCUUCUUCAUUGUCCCUCUUUCUGCUGCCAAGCACUGAAGUCCUUAUUUUUUUACUUUUUUUUUUUAUAGACAUGACAUUGAUCACAACCUAGGGGUAGAGGGUUGGGAUGAACAUCUGCACCCCAUGGUUAUCAUGGCAGUAAAUAAUUGCUUCAAGUCUAUUUUUUAUGCUUUUCUCUGUGAUUCAUAUCAUACUAUGGUGUGAAUUUCACAGUAUGCUUCUAGAGACUUGGGUGCAUCCCAUUUAAUUAGACACUUAAACAAGGUGCCAAAUUAGGAUGAUCCCCAUAUAAUCAGAGGAGGGUGCCCAGCAAAUGUCUGCCCCAUCUUAUCACUGACCAGAGAGGGAACGUUGGGAACAGCAUGCCUGGGACACUUCUUUCACGCUCUAGGGAAUGAAAUCCAAGUCAAAGUUUCCCACUUUCAAAUACUGGAGUUGAUUAAAUUGCUGCAUUUCUUGAUAAUUUAUUUACCCAUGUGCUUGCUACCGUUUUACAUAUAUGUCCCUCAGCUGAACAUCACAUAAAUUUUGUUACAGACUUCAUUGAAUUAAUCAAAUGUUCCCCCAAGAAUGAUGGACACUGUGUUGUUUGAGAGUUUGUCCUUGAUGGAAGGAGGACAUUGUCAUGCUACCAGGGACCAUGGCAGAUGAUGAGCAGAGGGAGAGAUGGGGAAGUCAGCAGGAGAAAAAGAAGGCAGAUUUCUGGGAGUUCUUUUGCAAGGGAAAAACUAAAAAGAUGGAAUAUUAUUCCAUAUACCAUCUUUCUUCUGAGUGUUCUGAUUCAGAAGUAGAAGUUGAAUGCCAGAGUGAGAUAUGAUUAUAGUUCUGAAAGAGGAGGAAGUGAAGGACUGUCACUGAAUGCUCACAUAGGCAGUGACACUUGGGUACAGUCAUCCAGACUGAGAAAAUAAGAGUUCUUUUCCUCAAACCAGCUCUGUAACCUUGAAAAAUUUGCCUGACUUCUGGCAUUGACACCUCCUCCUGGGAGUUGUCCAUCUCACCCAUUUAGGACAUAAGGUCACUGGAUUUGGGUGGCCUCCUGCAGUGCUGUGCCACUGCCCAGCACGGCUGGGAUCACAUUUGGACCCCAGGCCAUACUGAAAGCAGUAAUACUUUAAUACACUGCCAGCCUAGGCAGGAGGAAAUUGGGAAGUGCUGUGUGAAAACUUGGAGUGAAAUAACUGCUUUUCUCCCAGCAAACCACCUGGGAGAUGUGUUUUGUUUUGCUCUGAUAGCUUCUGACACUGUGUCUUAUAUUGCGACUUGUCAAAUUAUGUCAAAAUUGUGAUAUGGUGCUGUGUUACAAACUGUAUUUAUUGCUAAUUUCACACUAAAAUGUUAUUCCAUAUCACUUUGUAAUCUGGAGCCAUAUUUACUGAUUUUUGUAUUCCAUCUGGAACUUAUCAGCCUUUCCAUGAUGUCUGCCAGUAGCCCAAAAGUUCCUUCCUUGAUCUUCUCUAAUACCCAGGGAUAACUUCCAUCUGGUCCAAGAGAUUUGUUGCUUUUAAAUUCCUCUAGAUUAUUUUCUUUCUGUGUCACUGGUGUUGAAAUCAGCUCAGAUUGUGUAUGUGACAUGGGCAUUUUUCCUCUUUUUUUGAAUGGCAUUUAGAAUAUACUAAUUUAAUUUUAGCUUUCUCAAUAUCCUGCAGUUUUCUUCAGUUUUCUCUCCCAUUCCCUCCCAUGAUUCCAAUUCUUGCCAUGAUUGAAAUACUUUUGUAAUUCUCCAUUAGGAAUUAGUAAAACAGCAAAAGCAAGAAAUUAAUGUCCCUAGCCCAUGGGGCUUUUCACAAAGUUAGAUGAAAUUAAAGCAAAAUAAUGAGUAGAGACACAACUGAGUUUUUUGCAUUCUUUGAUUUUCCUUUUGUAAUUUAUGUAGUAAAUAAUUUCUUCUUUUUUUUUUUUCAUUCCUUUUCUUUUUUUGAGGUAUGUGACUUGUUAUCGUUUGAGUGAAAUUACAUACCAAAUGGAUUUUCAUGUUGCUUUGCUGCUUAGGGUCAUGACACGUAUUUAUUAUUUUUGAAACACAAGUAGUUUUAAUUAUUUUGCUGCUACUCAUGUAAUUCUGGAUAGCUGCUAGCAACUGAACUUUUACGUUUUUGUUCGUGUUAUUAAUAAAAUAUUGUUUUUAAAUUUGUGAAGGUUUACUGCUGCUCAUCCAUAUCAAUUAAAACAAUCAUUUAAAGCUUUGGUCAUACUCCAGGAGAGUCCAUUUCACUUUUAUUCCAGGUCAUAUGCUUCUUCUCCACUUUAACCACCCACUUCUAUCAGAUCAAAGCUACCCUUGCAGGUGUGUCAGGAGAUUGGCUUACAAAAACAUUUCCAUAGCCUGAAUAUUAAUAAACUUGAUAGCCUCUACUUUUCUUUUAAUUCAGCUUGCCAGCUGCAUCCCUUAACAUCCCUUAACAUAAACAUUGCUGCCUAUUGAUUUAAUAUUCAGUCCUUCCAUGUCUCUACAGCCCAAGAAGACAACACAGGGCCCUGUAUCUGUAAAAAUAUGCAUUUUAGCAGGACAUAUCAACUCCACUGCUUGCACCAAGGGGUGUCCCUUACAGCUACCUUGCAUCUUGAAUCAGUGGAAUCUAUCACUCUGAAAAUCUGGAGUGCUCAAGGGAGGGAGUUACUCCUCGUCAUGAGUGAGCAUGGAAGAGCCAAUGUCUAAACUGAAUUUUCUCUGGGAAACUGUGUUUGGAUCUGAGGUUCCAUUUAAUGUCCCCUCUGCAAGGAAGGUGGUGUGAGACAGUAGGAGCUUCUCUGCUCCUGAGCUCCCCAUGACUGAGCACCUGAAAACACUGCUCUGGACAUUCAUGGUCCCAAGAUAGGAGAUGUGGUUGACUAAAUGUUAGUAAUUAUCCCUACUGGUUAUAAUUAAACCAUGUAAUUCAUACUAUUUAUCACUCACAUUUCUGUUUUUCCUUCUGGUUACUCACUGGCUGAAGCAUAGCAGAUUCAUGACAGGUUGAAGCAUAGCUUUUUAUUAUUAAAAAAAGAAGGAAAAGGAUUUUCAACUGGAAGAUCAGAAGUUUGUUGCAUUCCCAUUUCUUCAUUGGAGACACUUCACAUCUCUUUAUUAAAAAAUUCUCUAGUAGAGAUUAUACCUUAAGCAGAGUCCAAAUUAACUUUUAUUAGAUCGAAGUAUCUUAUUUCCAAAAUCAGCAGUUAAUGCCACCUCAGAAUAACUCACAGUUAUUAAUUUAGUUAAGAAUGACAAUGGAAUUUUACUUUGUUUUUUCCUUUGGGUCAAUAUUUUCUUAAUCAACUUUAGUUUAACCAAGAUUAAAUUUCAUUGCAGAACUUCUCUUUUUUAAUCAGUUUAUAAACAUGUAGAGGUAAGCUAACUUACAGAGACUGAAGGAACUUUUUCAAGGGAAGCACCAAAAGGAGCCUUUGAGAUAGUCAAUGUGCUAAUACUAAUAAUCUUAUUUUUCAAUAGGUCCUGCUCUUCCUCUCUCUUGAGAAGUAAUAGUCUGUGCAACCUGGGAUUUGACAGAGAAUAACAGAAGCUGCUACUCUGUUAAAUUGCAAAGAUAUUUCAGUAUGCCAUUAUAAAAGCAGUGAAAAAGAAAUUAAAAGUAGAUGGUUUAUUGGAGCUUAAAAAGCUGUUGAAAAUGGGGGCCAGGGAGGGGAAAGAGGAAGCAAAGAAAAGCCAAACUAAGCAGAAGUACUUUGGUAAGUGCCUUCUCACCAGUGAUGCUGAAGCCUAAGUGUUCCUAAGGAGGUGCAGAAGUGCUGGACUUGCUGAUUCCUGGUAGCACCACCGGGUCUUCUGUUUGGAGAGUUUCUUGCUGCAGAAGAUGUGCUUGGAAGGAGCCCAGCAAGGAAAGCUUUGAUGAGGCAGCUGCUGUUCCCUGCCCCAGUUCAGAGAAUCACUUGUCAAGGUGUUGCUUGAAUUCAGACCUAGCCAUGCCCUUCCUCUCCCUCAGGUUUGCUUCACAAGCUUCUUCCACUCCUGGAUAUGGUUUGGAGGGUGUCUCAUCAGCAGGGCUGGGAUUGCUUUUGUUCUUUCAGUGGAAAACUUUCCACCUUUUUUUAAUCUGGCUAUUUUCAGAGUUAUCCAUGUGGUUCUGUCAGGGGUAACUCAAUCAAACCCCACUCCUGUUCCCAAGAGUUAAGCGUGCAUCUCUGAAAGUAAGAAGUCUAAAUUUUCCUAAUUUCAACUCAACUAUUUACUCAGUAUUUUAAUUAUCCUUUUUCCUUAUGGCUCGGUGCAGUCUUAGUUCCUUGUCUUUAGUCCCUUGUCUCAGUUUCCCAGUUAACACAAUAUUUUAUGCUCAGAUGCCUCAUAUUAAAAAUUGUUUAUGGCAUCAAAUAAAAACAUGCAUAAAACAUCUUAGCAUUUGUGUAAAUGUAAUCAAGCAGUUGUAAUAUGGAAAGUCUGUAUCCAAAUGAAAGUGUUUGCAAAUAUGCAUCUGAGGAAGAACUUGCAUAAUCCUUAGCACUGCAAACACUGGUGGUUGAUGCCCUGUAAGAAGUACAGUUUUACACCUAUUAAUGUUUUCUAAUUGUUGUAGAAACACAAAGUGCUUAUAUAUGGAUAUUUUAGGGGAGGUUUGGUCAUUAUUUCUUGGGCUUUUUUUCUUGGGUUUGGGGCUGGGUUUUUUUGAGGUUUAAAUUGGAGGCUUUAUUUUCCUUGCUCAAAGAAAAGACAUUUUAUAAUUCUAAUAGUAUAUCCGGUUCAUCACCCCCUUCUCAAUAAUUCAGUGUUAACAGGAUCCUAAAGUUCUUUCUCAUCACCAGGUGCUUUCCAAAGGUACACCCAUCUUAAAAACGUUCUUAUGAUAAUCUCCACAAAACCACUGUGUUGUACAGGAGGGCUGUGUGAUUCUUUUCUGAUAAGAUGCCCUUGUUGAUUUAUUUGCUUAUUGUAGACAUGAUUUCUGGAUUCUGCUGCAGAGUGUGACUUGUAAUUAAGGAUGCCUUGUAUGAAGUAAUCUACAGAAAGCACCACGGUAACCAAGAGACAAGCACUUAUUUUAAGGCCAGGUGUGAAAAAAUACAUACUACAAACUGUUCAUUCAAAAAUUGCAUUUGGGAUCCUCUGUAAUCUCAUGUUAUAGUAAGAAACCUGGCAUUAAGGCUAAGGAGAACCUGUGGUCUUUGGCACUUGUGUUCUGUCUUAGGCUGGUGGAAAAAGAUCCCCACUUAAAGGUUUUAUGUGACUCCACAAACCCAAUCUGAUUGACCCCAGUAUUGCAUGAGGAGGUGCUAACACAAUGCUAAUUCCCUAGCAAAUAAGAAUAAUUCAAAAUAGUUGUAUUUAAAAAUACAUUUGCACAUUUCCAUCAGUUGCAGGAUGGAGAAGUCUGAUAAAGGUUCACUCCAGAUGUUUUCCUUUUUCUGUGAAUAUUUGUGGUUUUGCUUGCAGAAGGAGCAGCACUUAAACAAACACCUUUCUGUUGUUACAUCCUCUAACGUGUUUUGUUUUGGAAAAAUGCAGUGUACACAUAAAUGUUUGAAAAAAAAUGCCCCUCAAGCUUUAGGUUUCUGCCAGACUCCCACUGAUAAGCAUGGCUCUGCUGGAAUUUUCCUGUCCUUUUUGCUAAAGCACUUGCAUAGGUAAGAUAGCAUCUGGUGAACCUCUGGGAAGGGUAUAUGCUUAUUUGUAUAAUGCAAAGCAAACAAGGAGAUGGAGAAGAUAUCCUGUGUUUGCAGGAGCAGCAUUGGGCAGAGGGUGUUUACUGCAAAGGCAUAGAGAACUUUUGCCUUGCAUAUUUAUUUAGCAAUAAUACACCUUCACUUCAGCACUACCCAAAAAGUUAAAGGUCAUCAUGUGUGGAUUCAGUGCUGUGGAGUGAGGUUUGAAUACACAUUUGUAGUCUUCGUUCACCUGGGAGUCUUCUCAGAACCUCCAGGCAUCUGGGUGGGCAGAGUUAAAAGCUGGAGGCAGCUCUGAAGGAUAUUACUUUUAUUUCAUCAGUAAGGCUGGGUUUGCUAGCAGAGCUGAGAGGUGAUACCCCCUUAGAAAUACACAUCAGGUCAUUUGUAUCCUGCCUGCAGUGCAAGUUGCAUUUCUUCUGCUUGCAUUUUCUAGUGUAAACAAACAUAGCAACAAAUAUAAUCACAAGAAAUCCAAGAGCAAGGGGAAGAACAUAGCAAACCAAAUAAACUCCCCAAACCAGCCCCCACACUUGGAGUAAAUGAGGAUGUACCAGUGCACACACAUCUUUUACUUGAGCUGUGCCACCUGCCUGUACCAAAUAUGAGCCACUGCUGACUGCUCUGCUGGGAGCUGUGCAGAGAGUUGUGGUGUGUAAGACUGGUGAACUCUUGGGAUGGUUUAGGAUGGGUUGAAGACUCUGUAAGGGUUUGUGUAUACAUGGUUGUUUUCAUGCAGUUUGUUCAGGCUAAGACAGAGCCAGGCCCUUACCUGCAAAAGUGCAAUCCCAACCCAGCUGGACUCAGUGACUUGGUAGAAGUCAGAAUUUUGUCCCAUGUGUUUGGGUAAGCACAGAGAGACCCCUGAAAGUCUGAGUUGCUGUGGCAGGGUAGGAAGAAUGACUCUGUACCUUGACUACACCUGUUCAUAGCCUUAAUAGAGGUGCAUUUAUGGAAAGGUUGUAUGAUCUUUAGAAGGGUUCCUGAAGAAUGUUUUCACAGUAGAAACACUAUAAUGCACUGUAGCGAAUGAAAACUGAGAUUAUGCUGGGCAAAACUCUGUAAUUCAGCAAAUCACGUAAUUCUGUGAAUGGGAACGUUUUCCUUCCAACUUCAGGGUACAAAGAAUUCUUUUACAUGAAUUCUGUAAGCUUCAGAAUUCAACAAUGGCACAAAUGUUCUUUUUUAUACCAUCAGAUUUGGAUGAUUCCCUUUUCAGGCAAUGCAAAAAGUGAGUUGGCUGCUAUUGUCUGCUUCACCUGUCUUACUUUCUUUCUUGAUUGUUAUUGUUCUUACCCAGAAUAUCCUACUGCUUGAUCAGUGUCCUCAUACAUGGUUUGUUUUAUUAUACCUACUUAGAAUACUUAAAAUAGCUCGGUGGCACUUGAAGAAUAAAUCUGGAGUUAAUUUGAUUACAGUGGUUAUAAGAUGUAGCAAUUAAGUAUAAUAAUUUUUAAAUAGUAUGAUUUUAUAAACAUUGAAUGAACAUAAUGUAAGCUGCAGAUAACUCCUGCAAAUUUAUAGUAAACAACUUCAUUGUUUAUUUUGACAAACCUUCUGGAAGCUUGAAAUAUUAAUUUACAUUUUUAUAGAAGUUGUUCAUGCCAGUAAGAAGAGAGAGCACUGUAUGUAUUUUAAAGAGUGCACAUUUAGGACGAGAUUGAGUGUCUUCAUGAAUUUUUUUUUUGAGAAACUACUUUAGGUUUCUUAAGCAGGGUAUAAAAUUUGUCUUAGUUUGGAAUUUCUUCAGUCUUUGUUGUCCAGUAAAGGAAUGAAAAAUUGUUCAACACAAACCGUAACAGCCAUUUCAGUGAGAGACAUGCAGAAUUAAAUGUGUUCUGCAAAGUGUCUUUGCUAUCCUUUUUGAAAUUCAGUAGUGAGAUCUGGGCCCUGAGUAGAUGGACAAAGUCAUCAGAACAACGUGAGGCUGGGAGGACUUGAGCAAAAUGAGAAAGCAGCUCCUGAAUCAGGGAAGGCACAUAUUAAUUAUUUGGCUUAUUUGCUUUGUUCACUUUGGCCUUAUUUUUGUAAGCCAUCAUUCUCCAAAGGGAAGACAAUAGUCCAUUCCCUUCAGGUGACAAGAAAAUCCUUUGUUACUGCAGUAAUUCUUCACAGUUUUUGAAGCCACGGGCACAAGUAUAAAUAAAAAAUGAAGAGCCCUCUAAGAGCUUGCAUAUAUAAAGACCGCAGGUAAGAAAACCUUUUUAAAUAAAGGGGUUUUUUUUUAAUAAUGAGGCAAUAGCAGAGCUUCCUAAUUCAGUGAUUCACUGGCUUUCUGCUGAGGCUGGUUCAGCUCUCUUGGGUAUUUAAAGCCACUUUUUAACCUGCCUCACUUCUAAAGACAAACAAGUUAGCUUAAGUUUCAAUUGUACACAUGUGGCUCAAGCUCCUUUUGCUUCUCCAGAGGGGCACACUAAGAGAAAACAAUGAUAUGUUACUGCUGCUUGGUUGUUACUUGUUGUUUUACAGUAGCUCAAUUUCUUGUGGUCAUCUUGUAUAACCUUAGUCCAGUGUAGAAGAAUUUAUUGUAAUUAAAAAAAAAAUUCCAUUAAAUUCUCAUUUUAGUUCAGCCUCUGUGCAUCUGUUACGGUGCUGUUUUGCUUGUAUUGUGUGUCAGUCCUAAGGUCUUAGCCUUUCAACUUCAUGUUUUUGUCUGUGAUGUCAGUUGGGUAAAAAACAGGGGAUUGACAUGGAAGAAUUAAAGUGGAAUGAGACAUAUUGGUUGAUAGUAUAGCUCAAGGAUAACACUAAUUGUUUUACAAGUAAAAAAAAAAAAAAAGCCUUAUUACUGAAAGCUGAGUGCCAUAAAGUCUACAUUACAUAGAAUUUAAGAUUUGAUAACCAAAAUCUUGAUGCACUAUUAAAAAAAAUUAUAAGAGCUUCCAGGUGUCAGAUAAGUAUGUUUUUGUUUCAUGUCUCUGACUCCUUGAUGUCUUCUCAGCUUAACCCAUGUCCCAUCCUUGCUCAUCCCGAGGCAGGGAGGUGAACAGAUGCCCCUCUGCAUGAUGGGCAAUAGUAGAAGUCUUCUAGCAAAAGACUAUUUUUGCUUCUGACUUCUAAUUUUUUUUUGCUAGCUUUAAAGUGAUAGUUGUAGGAAACAAGAAAAAUGUACUGACUAACUAUAUCAAGUGAAGGAAAAGUAAUACAUGUUCUUUAUCACCUUUACAUCAGAGGACUUUCAAAGCAGCAUCUCUGUAUUUGAGUUGCUUUAUUUUCCCCUCAAAUCCACAGUGGCUUUGUCCUCUUGGUGCCUUGGCUGCAAACACAGUCUGUAAAGGCAUAAGCCAAAAGGCAUCUUGGGGUUCUGUUUGCUUUCUAUCAUAUACAACAAGCCUAAAUUUGAACUUGGGUAGAUCACCUUCACAGUAUAAAUGAAAAAUCAGAUUUUUCCCUCUUUUAUUUUCUCUGGUUUUAUUGCAAUGGGUCAUUGAAAGAAAGCCUGGAGGGACAUUCUGGAAUGCAUUUUUCUUCCUCCUGUCUUAUUUUGUACAUUUGAACUACUUCAGCAAUUUCUCUCCUUUUGGUGGACAACUCCUCAGAGAAAUUAAAGAAUUAUUUAUUUAUGAUUAUUAGUUUCCUUUCAGCAUUUUAAAAAAUGUCUUCAAUGUUUGAAUCAUGCCAGCAGGCAUCACAAGCAAAAUCUGUAGCAAAAAAAAAGCAAUAUAGCAAAAAUAAUGACAAAUUCUAUCCAAAGAGGAGAAGGGAGGAGAGCUGUUCAGCAACAGUAAUGAACCAAGUUUCUCCAUGCUUCAGAUGCCCCUAGAAACCACCUGACAAAUUGAUGGGGUUUGGGAUAGGCCCCGAAGAUGGAAAGGUCUGAGCUGUUUCCUUUCUGGCUGGGAAGGAGAGUGGUUAGCUCCUAAGCCUACAUGUAAGGCAUUUAUUUUUAUAAACUCCUCAUUAGCUAUAAAAAAUAAUCUUAAUCAUUAAUGUUUAUCAAACACUGUCCUCUGAAAAUGCUGGGUAUGCUUCCAUUUCAGUCAAGUUUCUGCUAGGCAGCUUUCCCUCUCGGAACCAGUUGGAGAAAUAAUUGUUCCAUUCUUCAAGCUCAUUCAUUCUGGGCUCUUUGAGUAUUUACAGGAAAAUACGAGCUCCCCCUGCUCUGCCUUCCUGCAGCAGCCAUCAGUGGAGGCACAUCACAAGGAACCAUCUCUGAGCUGUGUGGAACACAAAGCUGGCUGUUGCCAGCCUCCUGAAUUCACUUCAUCUUGUCUCCUGAUUCAAUCUCACAGCAUUUUCCCUUCCAUGUGAAAGAAGUGGGGUUAUGCCUCAUUAUGAGAGAGUUUCAAGCAAAGGGUUUUGCCUUCUGGGCUCUUCUACAGUCAGUACCUCUUGAUCUCUUUGGUUGAUGGCAGCUGCCUAAUCACAGUGGGAAUAGAAGUAUCAACUCAGGGCAGCAAAAGGCUGGGGAUGCUGGUGAAGACAAAAGAGUUUCAUUGGAGCCUAUCCCACAGUCUUAGCCAAAAGACAAGAUUCGAUUUGGGUUGUUGGGGCAGAGGCUGAGCUGCACAUUUCUAGAGACCUUGGUCUCACCAGAGGUCAAAGAUGUUAAUAAACCCCCAGAGGACCCUGAAUUUCUUCACCCUUCAGCAGACACUGAGGACAGGCUGCAAGGGAUAAAAAAAAAUCUCUGAUUGUCAUUUCCAUAGAACAUCCAUAACUACAAGAAACCAGUGUUACUUUAAAUCAUCUCCUUUGUUCCACCAGUUGUUUCCCCUCCCAAGAUCCAGUGUCCCUGCAAGGAGUGCAGCUCUGUUUGGCAGUUGUAGAAGACACAUAAAGGGUGUCAAAGACAGAUAUCCAUUUCCUAAUGGACCUUCUGUUUCCUACAGAUUGUCUGAACUGUCAGAUGAGCAGGAUUCUCUUGUGGUAGCAGCAGAAGGUCCCACUACAGCUCCUGGCCUUCAAGGUUCACCUCAGAGAUCCUCAUUGUUUCUGAUCUUUUCAUUAUUAAAGCAAAAGAAAAUAAUUUUUAAAAUCUUUAUACUUUAUUUCCUUUGAUUAUCCUCUUCAGACAUUGCAGAAUAAUCUUACCUUUUUGUAGAUAAGGCUGUUCCACUGAGAAGGCUGUGGGUGGUGGCUUCCCUGUGCUCCUUUAAGGUCUUGAUCUUGCUUUUUUGAAGUUAAAUUGCCAGAAAGGACCUUUCCUAGAGAGCACAUGCUGGAUUUUUUUUGCCUUAUAUGUCCAAAGAGGUCUGCAUGUUCUUUUGAAACCUGUGGGUUUUGUGGUCACAGAACAUCAGUUACUCUAAUUAAAAGAAGAUUUUUGUAAUGUCUUUUUAUUUUAAACUAUGCAAAAAAUCUAUGGUGAGAUGAGCUGGCUGGAAAAAGCUAAAUAUGCUUAUUUUGCCAGCCUGCAGUCACAUUACAUCCAAGUUGGGCUUCCUCUGGCAUUUAAAGAGUAUUAAACCAUCUAAAAGGAGUUGCUCCCGUGGUCAUGGACCUCCAUUUAUUUACAUGGAAACUGGUCUAAAUUGUUCUGAAAGACAGGAUUUUUUCCCCCCUAUAAGAUGACCUGGAAAGGAUAUUUACUCCUUGAAUCUAAACCCUUGGCAUUGCAUGGAAUCAUGUUACUGGAAGCACUGUGACAGGAGUUUCAGUCUCCAUCACUGUCUAAGGAAGCCUUUUCAGAACUCCACUUUUCUGUUGGUGUGUUCAAUGACAUGUCAUGGCCUUUCCCUAUAAAGAAAAACCUCAUUUUUUGUUUAUUACCCCCCCCCCUCAUUAGCAGGGAGCAAUUAUACAACCUCACGCUGUUAUCUCUCUCCUGUCAGCUUUCUUGCCAUGUGCUCCCUGCAAGAUCCAACUUCCAUGGUGACAGACUGGACCAUGAACUUAUUUCCAAUGGAAAACAGUUGGCAGCAUUUAGAGCGAGGUUAUACCAGCUAAAAAACACUGCUAUUUAGACCUGGUGAGCUCACCAGGAGGAUAUUAAAUAGAUUAUCUAAUCUGUUUGUUUCUCUUCUUCCUGUUGACAUCCUGUCAGUUUUGUUGUUAGUCAGAGUUAUGAAAAAUGGACCUGAAAGGAGUUCACAGCAUGUGAACUAUAGCAUGUUAAGAAGGUAAGAAAAUUGCUCAGGGUGUCCUGCAUAGAGAUUUCUCUGGAUGAGCACAGAAGGAAAAAAACACACUUGUACCACUUUGAACGUGCUCUCUUUUAGAUUACUACACAGCAAAAGGUAAAGUGUAACACCUUUAGAACUCUAACUGAGGGCAGCACUGUCCCAAAAACAGAAACAAGGAGAAGCACUUUUGAGAUAAUGUCAAUAUUUUUCUCUUCCCUAUUCAUAGUCCUUUUAGUGCAGCAACCAAGCAGACUCAUGGCAUGUCUGCUGCCAAGAUCCAGAAUACAUCCAGGAGAGCUUGCCCAGUGGGGGAAGUAUUGUGAGGUCAAGGCGGGUGUGUGUGCACACUCCUGGUACCUCUAUGGACACAAUUACAGUCCCACUUGUUUAUUCUGUAGCUCAGUCAGUCCUUGAAAUGACCAGUGUAGGUCCAGCAUUCAAAGUGGAUCUAAAACCACAGCGAUUAAACCCAAGCCAGCACAAGCCUAUUCCAAGGCUGGUCAAGAGAAUUUGGACAUCCUGUUCUUCCCUUUGAGAUACAGAGACACAAAGCCAUCCUGCUGCUGUUGGCUGGUGUAGGAUUUCAUGUACUACUGCCUUGAUCCUGAGCUCGUAGGGUAGUAGGUGCUACCAGAAGAAGUGCAGUAUGUGGGGAGGGUGUCUGUGUCUGUAUCCAGACAGAUACUCUUAGGAACAUACGACCUGACAGCGAUUGCUUUGGUUCCAUCUGCUUCUGUUCUCCACCCAAACAUGCAUACUUCUACCAAAGAAAUAAAACCUCAAAUUACUUGUGUGGUCUGCAGCCGAGCUACCAACAGAACAUACAUAUAUAUAUUGCACGAGCCAAGCCCUACUGUUCCCAGGCAGCUCAGCUUCUUGUCGUCAUUUCAAUUACAGAGUUUUGUUUUAGUGCAAGAUGAGUAAGAAUCAGAGUUUUGGCCCGAGACUGCUUCAACAGUUAUGUGUCAUGCUUAAUUUUACUGCACAGCAGUUUGCCAGAUAUACCAUAUUGGAGACGUGUUGAUCUUUGUAGUUUCCAAAACUGACACUUCCUUUUCCAGUCCUGCCUGUUAAACUAUUUUAGUUGGACAACACUGAGCUUUUGAAAAAGGCUGAUGCUGCACCCCAUUUUGAUAUUGUAUUUUAAUUGAAGGAUUUAUUCAAGAUUCCCAUGCCAGUUCAGGUUGUGAUUUUUAUUUUAUUAGUAAACAUAGUGAUAUUGGGAUGAAGCCACAUUACAAACACAGAUACACCCUUGGCUGAUCCAGUGAUGGAGAAGCAUGCCAAAACCUGUUUUGCUACCCAUCAGCUCUUGUUUAUGUGUUGUUUCUAAUUUUUAUGUGAACAUUCUGGCUUUCUCUUUGCUACAGGAGGAUUAGUCCUGGUCAUAUCAGUACAGCUUAUGCCAGUACAAGCCUCUAGUACAGGCAAUGCCAUGGUCUGUUUUAAAGCCAUUAUGAAAGGUCAGAAAACUUGGAGUGAAGGACUUUAUUACAGAGUUUUAGGAUUAGGGCCAUGACCUAGCUGCUGGAAUUUCAGUCAGUAGUCUUUCCCAAGUUGGCCAGAACUGGAGGAUGUUUUGAUCCCUUGCAUACUGAAUUAUUAAUCUCCUCUUAGGUCUCAGGUGGGUCUGGCAGCAUGUGAUGACAGGAGGAAAACUGGUCUUUCUAUAAGCUGUAGCUUGAGAUACAUGAAGCAGCUCCUGUUGGUCUUUGGCCUUGUUACCUCUGUGCAUUGUUCUGUGUAUCUGCCCUCUGGAAUAUUACAUAACUGUAGAACCAUGGAAGGGUUUGGGUUGGAAGGGUCAUUAAAGGAUCACACAGUUCCAACUCCCCUGCCAUGGGCAGGGACAGCUUCCACUGGACCAGGUUGCUCCAAGCCCCAUCCAUCCUGGCCUUGAGCACUUCAGGGAUGGGGCAGCCACAGCCUAGAGUUGUCCAUCGCAUAGGACUUACUGUAACCCCUCAUCUGUCUGGAUGUAUCUUCACCAGUCAUCUUAAAAAUGUGCUAAAGAACAAACAUACAGAGACAGCUCUUCAAGAAAUCAACAUGAGGAAUUUUCAUGCUUAUGUGAUCUUUUCUUGUAAAAUGAAACAAGAAUAGCCUAAUUUCAUUUUCCUCUCAUUAAGAAAAAUUCCAUUUUUAUAGAAAUCCUCUCUUUCUGACAUAGGUGUUUGCAUUUAUUUGUGAUUGUUUCCUUUGGGACUGGGUGAAAUCAGUAAUUGUCAUUGGUUUGUGCAUCCACUGGGAUGGAAGCUCUGUCUGCUUCUGUGUAGGUCUUGUUGAAAUCCAAAACUGCAUUUAUUUUCAGUGUGAACACAGCCAGAGAGAGAAGUUAAUCCCAGCAUCUUGAAUGCAGCAUUACCUAAAGGCUGAUGAUAUAGAAAUAAUUGAAAGUAAGUACAGCAAAGUUGUUGAGAUAAAUUUUGACAUAAAAAUGUAGGUUGGUUCAUAAAAAGUUGCAGUGACAAUAGGUUAUAGUGACAGCUUUUCAACAACUGUAUAAGCCUCCAGAUGGAAGGGAAUUUGGCUUAAUGAAUUAUAGGCAGUCUGUGUAACACAAGCUCCUUUUAUAGGAGCAGCUCAGAAUAAAGAAUAAACUUAUUCAUACUGGCAUGUGUUAAAUAACAUCAUUGUUAAAAACAUGCGGUUGAAAAGAGACUGAGAAAUGAAGAAAUUAAACAAAAAUCUGUUAAUAUCUCAACCUUUGAGCUCCUGAGUAGGGCAUUGACUGCUUUGUUUCAGAACGAUCUGAUAAUGAAGGUUGUCCCUGGCCAAGUGUGGAAGCUCACAGCCUUCUGGUGAUGAGGUGACCCUGCUGCAGAACCUCCACCUUUGUGCACUUGCUCUGGGUCUGGAGUGGCCUGAGCUGGUUGAGGUUGUUACACCUGGGGACAGAUAGUCAGAGCUCCUGAGAGCACUUAAUUCCCAACCUGUGGCACGAACAGGCCACAUGACCUUGCCAAAUCACUUAAUAUCUGCUUUCCCAUCCAGAAAAUUAUGAUGAUACUUACCUGCCCCCAGGAGAAGCAUUUGGGCUUCAUUAAGGAUUAGGAUAUGCUAUUAGUUUAGUUAGUUGUGUUGAAAUGUGCUCAGUAAGCACAAGUUACUGUUAAAUAAUGAAUGAGGAGAAAUGCUGUCAAAGUAAUCCAAAGGACUGAGCCAGUCUGAGAGCGGUAUCCGAAUAAAAUCACAUGUGCCAUGAUGUCAGAGCAGGGGAGUGCGACUGAAAACUAAGAAUAAGCAGCAGAUGUCAGUGACUCAUUAAAAUAACAAACUUGUAUUUCUAAUUUUGUCAGAGUACCGUGGCACUUUCGAUAGGAUGGAUUAACCGCUGAUGAGCUUGUAGGAUUUUUGACACACGUGGCGGUGAGUUAAGGACAUGGCUGUAGCCUUCUGCCUGCCUUGCUGCAUCUGUCUGUGGCUGGCUUACAAGGCAGGAUUCAAAUACACAGACUGAGGAUUUAGAAAUGCAGGAAGUUUCUGUGACGCUACUAAUCAUGGAUGUAUAAAAUUGCCAAGUUCUCUGGGUAGGGAGCGCUUUAUUUUGGUAGCAAGUAUUUUUCUAGCAGGCCUGUGACUUUAGAAAUUUUCAGGAGGCCUGAUUUACAUCUUCCAGCUCCAGCCAGUAGUCAUGUCAUGGAUGGAUGCUUUUACUGUGGAAGUGGAACUAAUACAAAGUAUGAGAUAUUUUCUUACAGCAAUAAUUGUAAGGAUGUGUAAUUAUUUAUCCCAUUCCCUGUUUCCUGAGUGCAGAAAUCUUAAUUGUACUGGCAAAGCAUGUGUAUGUUUUGUCAGCGCAACUGUGUGUUUUUGAUACUCCCUCUCCUCAAAGUCUGCAAGGAUUCAUUUUUCUCAGCAUAUUUUAUACUUAGGAGCACCUGAAUCGUUACCCAUGCACCUCAUGAAGCUUUUUUCUAACUCAUUUUCCUAAUUAGCAGCCCGUCCCUGCCUUGUGUGGAUAAUAAGGCUUUCAUCUGUGGAUAAUAACACUUUCAUCCUUGCACAGGUGAAAGGAUGCUCUCCACAGCAGCCAUUUUUUUUUUCCCCCUUUGCAUCUCUAAAAUGGCCUAAUGUUAUUUUGGGGAUGGGUUUUUGUACCAACCCUGAGCUCUGCCAAGGCACGCUGGAGGUCCUGCCAAAGCCCGUUGUGGAGCUGCUGGAAGAGAGAGUCUGGGAGAAGAAGGAGCUGAGUGGCUCCGUCGGCCUUCGCCUGGCCCUGGGCACUGCAGUUCUCCCAGAACACAACAGAGCCUUGUCCAGCCCUGAAUGACAAGCAGUUCUAUAUUAAGGGAAACAUGAAAACACAGCUUAUUAGAAGCCACAGGGUUGAUUGAAAGCGUAAUAAAUGGCAGCCUACCAACAAAGAUUGUUGCUCUGGGUAGAUAAUCUGAUUAGUAAAUAUUUAUUUCAUUACAAAGUCCCUUUUAUGGUUUGAGCCGUGUGCAGUCAACAAUUCCAAGUGACCUCUUCAGCAUUUUAAAUGGGAUCUGGAGGUUCUGCCAUUUGAACCAGGGAUACCAUAAACAAAUAAAAGACUUUCAGUGCGAUUGGAGGUAGUGGUAUGAAAUGCUAUAGUAUUUAUUUAGAGAAUAAGUGGCAUCUGUUGUUUGGUUAGGCAGUUAGUUUAUUAUGAACUAACUUGUUUAAUCUUAAACUUUGAGAAGAUACAGAAAUAUUACAGUCAUCUGGGGACAACUGAAAAUCAUUAACUCCUCAAUUACUGCUGUGUGGACAUUCAUUUCACCGGUGCCGCUCACUAACAAAUCUCAUCACCUAAUGGCCCUCAAAUUGUUUGUACCUUGGUUUUUCAAGCACUGUAGCAAAUGCUUUCUGCCCAGACAUGCCUGGUGUAAUCAGUUAUCAGAAAGAAAGGGAAAAUACACAAAUUUUCAUCAGCUUUGCUGGUGCAUUAUAUGUACCAAAGCAAAGCAAACAAAUCUGAACAUCGUAAUAGUAGCAUUAUACAUAUAUAUUGCUCGUCAUUGUCCUCAGAACUCUUCAAUGUAAUGUUCAAAGUCUGCAGAUAUAAUAAAAGCAUUUUUACUUUGUCCAGCGUAUCAGACAAAGGAAUGCAGAUUGAGGAGAAUGCAGUACUUUGUCCCACUGGAGGUUGCGGUUUUAGCUUUAAAUUCAGAAAAUGCUUAAGAGAACCUUAUGAAAUGUAAUAAAGUUCUCUUUCCCUGAGCUCACACUCUCAAUCUGAAAUUGUAUUGAGGGAAUUUGGGUUUCAAUAGUGUCCUUACGGAGCAGCUAUGCUUAUUACUUAGAUAUUAGAGAUGCCCUGUUGAUGUACAAGCGUUUGAAUUCUAAAGGGAAAUAAAGUCUGUAUUUUCAGCUUAUUAUUGUACGAUAUUGUAGGCACUCUGCAGUAAGCGUCUGAAAAAACCUGUUCUUUUUCCCUUCUAACUUUCACCACCUAACGUGCUGUCUUGGCUUUCUACCUCUACUGCAAAAGAAAACAUCAGCUUAAAUUUCCAAUUCCCUAGUAAGAGGUUAUGUACAUUAUAACACUAUUACAGCUAAUGUAGUUUAUGUACUUAAUUCUUUGUAGUCUGAGGUUGUCAUGACACCUAGGUGCUCAAGGAAAGGAGUAAAAUUACCCAAGAGCAGGCUGAGAAGCAGGUAGCAUGUCAUCUGCUCCUUUGUCUAUUCCAGCACUGGCUUUUAACAUCUUGCUGAGUUUGCCCUGUAAAUACAGGGGCAUGCCAGUGAGCACAGCUGUGGGAUGGCUCACUCAAAAGAAGCAAAAGCAAAACCAUGCAGCAGGCACAUGGAGGAAGUUGUUGACGACUCACCCCUGGAAGUUUUCAAGGCCAGGUUGGAUGGGGCUUGGAGAAACUUGGUCUAGUGUGAGGCAUCCCUGCCUACAGCAGGGGGUUGGAAUGAGGUGAUUUUUAAGGUGCCUUCCAAGCCUUAUGAUGAUUUCUGUGUACUCAGAAGGAGCUUCUCUGGGUAAAAAUGCCUUUUCACAUCCCUCACCAUCUCUUUUUACCUUGCAUAUGCUCCUGCAGCAUAUGGGAAUACCUUGCUUAUAGCCUGGCCCGUGAAUGCCUUUCCAAAUCAUCCUUUUUCCCACCCAUGCAGUAGAAACAGAAAACUGAAAGCUCUCGUCUUUCUCUGCUCUCAGCAUGAAUCAGAGCAUGGAGGGGAUGCUCCAGGCAGGCAGCAGCUCCAAGUUAACUGUCAGGUCAACAGGGAAGGCCAGGAGCUGGUCAGUGAGCUCCCAGUGCAGCUGGGGUGAUGUUCCCGCCUUUUGUAAUGGACAGGGUUAUUUAUAAAUGAUACACAGAGGGAUUUUGAGGACUGCAAAGGCAGCGCCAGGGCAGCGUCAAAAAUACUUGAAGGUUUUAGUUCAGCCAAGAUCGCUGGCCAUGUUUUCCACAGCCCAAAAUAAGCUCCAAAAUGAGAGGGAAUGAAAGGCUUCUACUCGGUCUCAGAAGAACUUUAUCCACUUCCAGUUGUGCAGCCAUUAAAAGAGGGACAAGCAGUGCUGUGCAGAUAUCAGGAGAGCUCCUCUUCUCUGUUUUAUUUAUUUCUUACCCCAGCAAGUACAGAAAUCUUGCUGCUUCAAUAAAAACUAAGGACAGGAUUUGCCCAGCUGAAAUGAGGAAGCUUUGGCAUUGACUUGAAUCGGGAUGGCUGGAGCUGAGCACCCACAUGACUUUUGGUUCAUGAUUCCUAUGGGCAGCUUCAGCACUUUUGUACAUAACUGUUCUGCUUUGCAUUUCAUUAUGUUUAUUGAAGCUGUAUUCUAACUCUAGGUUUGGGGGGGCUUAGCCCCUGAGGUUUAUUUAGGAGUGGAGGAGAAAAGUCACUCUUGUGCUGUGAUGCCUUUUAGGUCUUCCUGAUGUAGCAAGAUAGAAGACAUGUAAUAAUUUAUUGCCACGUUAAAUAUUGAUUUAUUAUUUUUCAUGGCACAUUUAUUCAAAGCUUCAUGCCGUCAGGUUUGCACCAUCACCCUGUCUGUGUGCACAUGUCCACACAUAAAUACUCAUUGAUACCGGAUGUCCUGUCAAUUCCCUGAAGUGACACAGAAGUGGAUUUGAAAGUGUAUAUUGGCAUUGAAACAUUGCCUGUAUAAAUCCAAGAUUUUUCUCCCAAAGAAAGGAAGAGCCCAGCCAAAUAAACAAAAAGUCCUUCUGAGGUGUGCAGUCUUUGCUGCUGAAAUAUUGAAAGGGAUUUUUUAACCUAAAGAACAGUUUUUUUUGCAAAGCCUGUAGUACACAACUCACUGAGCUGGGUUGAUGGCUGGAGGUGUGUGUUUCCACCCUUAGUUUAAGGGAUUGCUUAUGAAUAGCAAGGAGGCAGCUCUUCAAGUUGAGACUCUAUUCCCAUGGCUGCAAUCUUCAGAGCCCUGGAGAUGAUGAGGCUAGCUGGAAGAGCCCAAGCACACCUGUCAGGCAGAGCAGAUUGAGACAACUCAAUAGUAUCACCUAUUCCACUAAAACCUGAUGAGCCAGUUGUGCUGCAUUUCUCCAGCAAAAUGCAUAUGUAUGCUUUAUGGCUAAUAAAUACACUGCACAAAUUGAAUGGGAGCUAAAAUGUCCAGUUCCAAGGGAGUUCAUUGUGGAGAGAAAAAUUUCCCGUUCUCUUUUCCUGUGCUUUAGUUUUCAUUUUUAUGGGGUUGAAGAAGUCAGGUUGUUGAUAGUGCAUCCUGUGAAUUGUGGGUCCUCUGCAGGUGGUGGUAGAUGGCAGGGGGCUGUCCCCACUUCCCCACACAUCCCAGCUAGGUCUGCAAGUUACUUUUCAGUGGGUUGGCAAAGAGUUUGCUAGAAAUAAUUGUUCCAAUAGCUUCUUUCAGAGCAAAGUGGGUGGUCUGACUUGGGCACCAAGGAGUUGAUAAGCAAUUUCUAGUAGUUGGCUGUUCAUCACACCACUGGCCUCUGCAUCCUUAAGCAACAGCCUGACUUCACAUAGCAUUUCCUUCCACUGCAAGUUUUGGCAGCUCCAAAAUGGAAAGGGCUUCCUUCCAUUAACAAACAGAUCCUUGCAUGGAUCAGGACUCGGGUCUCAAUCUCCCUGUAACAUUGCCAUAUGAUGCCUUUGCUCUCACCUUCCUCAGCUGGAAUUUGAAAAAGCCAAACUCAGACUCAAGAGAGAGGCUGUUGCACUGAAGAGUUUUUAACCCCUAACUGAUCAAAUUGCUUCAUGACUGGGCAUAUCCACUGUGGGCCAAGAGGUGAUGGAGGGCUCACAAGUUGUCCUCCACAUGUGCCUUUUCUAAAUAUAAAGAUGUUGAUGAAAUCCUGGUCUCCAGAGGGUUUCCAAACUGGACAGAGUCUCCUGUUCCUGCGUGGUACCCUGUCCAUAGCACUCACAGCUUCACAAACAGGAAAGCCUUCUAGCCCAUCUCCAUGAAGGUGUUGGGGUGAUGUCACCCAUGGCACACUUGGCUCAUGGGUGACAUCAGACCUGAAUUGAACUCCAUGGUCAGUGUUGGCCACCACUUCAGCCAUGUCACACUGACUUGUCCAAUGUCUCUUUCAAUUAUGCCCUCUGUCCAUAUGUCCUUUAAGUAAUUUCUUUCCUAACUUCCCUCUUUUAACAAUUUCAUGUUAAUAUUUUUCAUUUUCCCCCAAAUGUCUGCUACCUGCCCAUUUUGUGUCCUGUUUACUGUUGAAACUCCUUUGCAUUAUGUAUUCAGUAAGAAAUGCCUUGCUCUAUGAAAUGCCUUCUGCCUGCAAACACCCCAUUUCCCUUAAGACUUCCAGCAAUGAUCUCUGAAAAUAUCCACACCACUUCACAGAGAGCUUGUCUCUGGUGUAUUCAGAUGUCAAACUGUUUGUGUCUCGGCUUGGAGCAGACACUGUCUCAUUUGUUUGCAAAGCCCUACUGUGCACAUGGGACACUUCUCAAUAAAUAAUAGCAGCAGCUUUGUCUGCUACAUCCUAUAGUAAAAUUUCAAAAUAACCCCAAACUUUUCACAGUUGAGGACUGUCUCUCCUUGCUUUCUUGCCUGCAUUUUAAAUUAUAUUUUUGUUGUGCUUCCAUUAAGCUUUUGCAAUUUCAUUCUUCAGUGUGUGAGAGCUCACUUUGCACAAAUCAGGCUAAAAAUCAACUGCAGAUUCCCUGUUGAGAAUCUUCCUGGAAAGGCUGGGAUUUCUUCUGAUGAAGAGGACACUGCGGUCCCUAAUACCACUUUCUUUUUCUAAGCCUGGAGACUGGGUGAGAUGGAGGGUGGUGAAGUGAGGAGUAGAAAGAAAGCUGAUGCAUUCCUGUGAGCUGAACCCACCAUGGAUGUGGGGGAUCUUACACCAUCCCCACAAGGAAGGAAAGGACUCGUUCCAGAGCUGGGCCAAGCAGGGCUAAACUGAGUAAGCUCCAUGUGGCAUCCCAGCCUUCGUGCCAUGCUCACUUCUGACAUGCCCAAACCCCCGGCAGUAGCAGGGCACUGAGCAGCGAGAUGGGACUUUGGUCAUGGUACUGUUUGCUUCCUCCUCCCCUCCCACCUGGAUCCUUGCUGUUUCUUUUCCACUGGCUGAGUUGCAUGAAGCAUCCUGGGGUUUUUUUUCCCGUUGGGAGUAAAAUAAAGCAAAAUGGGGUACUUUAGGUAGCUGUUGCAAUUAAGUGAGUGCUAUUGUGGAAAUCAUCCAGGCAGUACUAGAAGAGCGUGAGCUGCAGUGGAACCAGACAGCCCUGCUCUGUCCAUCAGUCUGCUGCUUUUGUUACAACAGUGUUGGCAUUUUCAGGGCAGGUGUGUGUGGAAGCAAACAGAGCUCUGAGAGGGCUUGAAAGAAGGGAUGUUGUAAAUUUACAGUAGAAGCACUGUGCUACUAGAGGUGCCCACAGGCCUAUUUCCCCAUCCUGCUUUUCUGCCUGUUGUCCCUGCUGUUCUUGAGCAAGCAGGAUAUUUAAAUACAUGAAAAAUUGCUGUCUCCAAGGGACAUUGCCUACUUAAAACAACAACUAAUCUGUGAGGUGACCAACCAACACCACCACCUGAGAGUUUUGGGUUUGUUUGUGCUCAUGAGUGUGUCUGCACAGCACAGCUGCUUCUCUGCUCAAGAGCCACUAGAGUAUUGUAAUAUUGAGGAAUCCUGCUCUUGCCCAGAAGCUGAUUGAAAAACAAACCCUUACUGUCCUGACCUGCAAUUUGUACAGUGAAUGGCUUUAAAAUUAAGGCUUGGCAAAUAAUUGAUCCAUCUGGUAGACUGCCAAAUUGAAAAAUAUCAUCACCAACACCAGUUAAAUGCUCCUAGAUGACUAAACAGCACUGGAUCUAUUUCUUCUGAUCAGCACAAGAACUGCAAAUUGGAGAGGAAAAAGAAAGUACAAGGAGAAUGAGGUUUUACUGUCAAACAAAGGAGUCCAAUGCACUCAAGAAAAGGCUUAGUCCUUUAUAGAAAAGUGCGGGAAAGAAAGGCAGACUUCACAGAGGGGGAGAAGUGCAUGGCUGCCCUUUCUCCUGGUAACUCAGCAGUUCAAUUCUGCACCUAGGGUGGCACUGACCAGGGUUGCCAUCCCUUUCCUGCCUGGUAGGGCCUGGAUCCAUCCCCCUGUGAGCAGCCAGCCUUGUGCACCCACUCUGCACCUCCUCCUGCCCCUGCCACGGGUCUGGGCGCUCAGACAGCAAGGGGGACAUCCCCACCUUGACAUUGCUCACACCUUCAUAGUCUCUCUCCUGAUGAAGGCUAUUUCCAUCCAAAAUCCACCACAAAGUGAAUUGCAGCCACGUGGGAGGUUGGACUUCUUCCUGGAAAGUGGAGGUCUUGAUUUGCACCUGCCUCAGAGCUGGGCUACAGCAAGGCUCCUACUCUUUCCCACCUCUCAAGAGGACUAUGUUGAAGUUGUUUUCCUUUAAUCUCUCGUAUUUCACAUUGGCUCUGCUGUGCACCAAACACAUAAAACAUGCUGUACAUAUAUGUGGUAUCAUGCAGCAGUAAGUAGCAAUAAAUACAAGUCUGCUCUUGUAGCAGAUGUUCUUGCAGCUCCCCAGAACAGAGCAGUUGGGCAUUAAGGAAGAAAGAAAAUUAAAAUAGGCAGGAAUAGCCCACCUGGCCUGAUGUUAUGCUGAAUUUUUGGAGAAGAAAGCAGCAAGAAGCUGGGAAGCAUGAUCAGGGAUGGGGCUCUGCCAUCAGACUCCUUUGAGUGAGAAGACCUGACCUCAAUCAGAAUAAACUGGGAGGCCCCAAAGGAUGGGUGACAGAGAGCCUUGGCAGUAUGUGACAUGAGAGAAGGCCAGCAAAGUAUCUUGGGAAUAAAUUGUUGCUUCAAUUAUCUUGAAGCCCUGCUUUGGCAGACUCAUAGAUUUUUUCAGAAUCAGAUGGACAUUAGAAAAAUAUAUUUUCUGGAUUAGAUUUUAAUUUAGGGACUGAUCAACCGUGCCAUUGUCCUUUCUCUUAAAGAAAGAUCACCUCUAUGUCCUUAGGCUGUAGAAUACAUGUCUCUCCCUGAUAUUCAAGUCUCUGAGGCACAGUUUAAUUUGUAAUGUUGUAAAUAUCUUCAAGUUUGCCAGUUCUUGUGAUUUGAUUGCAAGUUUUGCAGUACUGUGUGAUUUGGAAAGGGGAAAACCUCAGCUGUGAAGCUGUGAGGAGAGACAUGGUUGGUUGGUGACUUUUUUUCCCCUGAGCUGGCUAAUACCAAAGAUCUGUUAGAAGUGUCCUGAAUGUGAGGGCUUUUUUUCUGAAAUAAGUAGGAAAGGCAGCUGCAUGUGCAAAGAAAUACAUUUCCAUGCCUCAGGUUUGGUACCAGGGAGCCUGGUGGACCCAUCACAUCUGGCUGUGUCACAGGUCUGAAGCCAAGCCCCCCACUCGGGGGACUGUGCUGUUCUUUCAUGUUUAAGGAUAGGUGCCCAAUUGAUUGUAUAGAUUAAUCCAAACUGGGGCUUUUUGUGUUCUUGCUGCAUUUAACCAUUGCCAUCUGUCUUCCUCAUCCAAACUUGCAUUUCAGCUCAGUAUCUUGAUGAGAGCAGGUUAGCCACAUUUUCUGUUAGCUGGGCAGGUAGGAAGUAGGCUAUUUUCUUUUUUUCCCAGGAACUGUAACAAGAGUCCUCUGCUGCUUUGCAUAGAAGUUUCCUGUGCUCAGAUGUUUGAUUUAUCGUGGUCUUUAAGCAAUAAUAACUUCCUUUUCUCUUAUUUAGCAUCUCUGGCAAAGUUAGACCUCUUCAUGCAGAUACAGAUUGUUCUAAUAAUAAAAAUAGCAGUAAAAAUAAGUCUUGGUGCCUCUGCUUGUUCUUCAACAACUUUUUUUCUGGCUGGAGAAGUAUCUUUCACAUACAUCAGGGAAGUCCUAAGCACGGAUUUAGGCUGAAUAGAGAUGGGAGUGAGUCCAGGGGAGGUCACAAACAUGGUCCAAGGGCUGGAGCACCUUUGCUGUGGAGACAGGCUGAGAGAGCUAAGCUUCUUCAGCCUAGAGAGGAAGAGGUUCACGGGAUCCUUAGAGCAUCUUCCAGUACCUGAAGAUACCUAAGGGAACGCUGGAGAGGGACUUUUUACAAGGAUGUAGUGAUAGGAUGAGGGGGAAUGGCCUUAAGCUAAAGGAGUGUAGGUUUAGAUUGGAUAUUAGAAAGAAAUUCUUCACUAUGAGGGUGAUAAGCCACCUGAACAGGUUUCCUAGAGAAGCUGUGGAUGCCCCAACCCUGGAAGUGUCCAAGGCCAGAUUGGAUGUGGCUUUGAGCACCUUGGGAUAGUGGAACGUGUCCCUACUCAUGGCAGAGAUAUUUGGAACGAGAUGAUCUUUAAGGUCUCUUCCUUCCAGGCCAAACCAUUCUGUGGUUCACUUGAGACUGCCCUUUAUGUUUGACCUUGAGAUUUUAAUAGAAGUAUGUCAGUUUUCCUUUUCACUUAGUCAUUAACCUUUGGCAAGAAAAAAAGAUAAAGGGAGAUUAGAAAUCCAAAUAGGUGAUCUCUGCUGUUCUUUUUUAGACAAGUCUGUGGUAUCCUCUACAGGAGAUCCAGUGAGCAAGUGAAGCAUCAUUUCCUCUGUGCUUGCUCUCUUUCUUCUCUUUUCUCCCUGCCUAAAAUGAGAUUAAAAAACAAACUCAUAAAUACUCUUCCUUUGCUGCCUGCAUAUAGUGUUUCUAAAUUUCACUCUUUGCAUGUAUUUCUUUCUUCACAGCCCCUCAACUGCUAUUUGGUCAUUUAUGCAGGAAGCCUGUCACCAUUGUGACACAGCAAUCGUCCUACAAAGCCAUUUUAAAAUAGUUAUUUUCUGUGAGCAGAACAAGAGAGGUUAAUGCUGAUGACUUUUCCUUUAUCUCAGAUUUUAUGUGUAGAUCAUGGUGGGCAUUUUAUUUGUGUUUCUGCAAAAUCAGAUAAUUUCCCAGCUGUACAAGUCUAUUAGGCAUGUAAAAAAAAUAGGAAGGUUUAUUUUGGGCAGGUUUAGGUUGUGUUUAAUCUCACACCCUUGAAAUAUUAUAAAUAUUCACAUGCAUUUUUCAAAUGACAUCAGAACUAAUGGAUGAUAUUUAAAGUUACUAAACGUUAGAUGUGUUAUUACACUGAUCUUCUGAAAAAUACGUUCUUCUUCUCUUGUAAUUAAUCUCAUUAAAAAGUCUUUAGCUGGCAUGGAGAAAUAAUGGAUCUUUAAUGUUUUGUUUGAUAUUGAAAGCAAGUUUAAUAGUGAGACAUUAAAAAGUAGUUUUAAUGUGCCACUCAGCAUGUAUGGUGAUCACUUGCAAUCGAUGAUGCCUAAUUUAAAGAUAAUGGAAAUUCCAUCUUGUGCUAAAAAGGUGCAGGAGAAAUGUGCUGAAGGAGGAUGGGAUGGGUUACUUGGCAGCUGGGGACCAACAUCUUUCUGCUCUGAAUAGAACAGGCCCAGUGAGAAGCAGCUCACCUUGCAUGUCAAUAGUUGGUAGUUCAAGAAGUCACAUAUCCCAGGCUACCAGUGUGUAGUCCUAUUUUUUGAAAUAUAUACACAUGUAUUCCCAACUUUUCUUUUUUAUGGCAGUUCUCAUAAUUCAUGAAAAUGCUAAAAAUCCAUCAUCUGAGCAAUUCCUGUUUCAAAAGCAGACCUCAAAGUUUAUCUGCAAGCCAAAUGAGACUGCCCACUAAAUGUCUCUGAAAUAUCUUGUAAUCACUGGAAACAGUUCAGCUGUACCUUAUUCAGGCAGACAGAUCUUACUCUUCUGUGGAUCUUGUUCAAAGAGCUUCUCUAUCUAUUUUGGGAAUGAGAACCACCUAUGACAAAUAUCCAGAGACCUACACGAUCCUGUUGGAAGAAGACUGUGAGUCAGCCAGCUCCCUAAGGAUUUGGUGUUGGCUACUUAAAGACUUUCAGGUUAGGGAAAAAAAAAAAAAAAGAGAGUGAAGCAAAUAACAUUGUUUAGUAAGAAACCUUUCACUGAGAGUAACUUAAAGCUAUGUAAUUGGGGUUUAUUGAUAAAGUAAAAGACCAACUAAUUCUGCUUGCAUUUAGCAGGGUGUUGAGCACCCUCUGACAGGUGAGAAGGAACGGGUGAAGGUGGAAUGUUGGGAUUUGAAUAAGGUCUGUGAUAUGGUCACAUGUAACAUCUUCUCAAGUAAACCAAGGAAGAGUGGCUGAGCUGAGAGGGCAGCCCAAGACCACCUCAAGACAUGGCCUGGCCCAUGGCAAGGCUGUCCCCUGUUUGUCUCAGGGGCAUUGACGUGUGGAUGAUCACCUCAUGGAGAGGAGAGGAGAGGAAAGCUUGGAGAAUACAGAGGUGACUUUCUGUUGAUUGGUUUAUCAGUGCGAGGCAAUUCUGUAUGUAGAUGUGGAGGUAGGAGGGGAAAAAACCCUAUCAAAAUGCACAAACGUAAAAGGGGAAUUUGCUGGCUGGGAAGCUAUACCUGAAAUAGGAGGUUUAAGUCAGCUUGUAGGAAAGUCUUGUGACGAAUACGGCUAAGCACUGAAUUGGGCUCCUUGGCAAGGUUUUGAGUUGUCUUCUCAGGAGACAUUUAAAAACUUGUGGUGAUAGGACAUUGGCAAACAGCUUUCAAAUGUAGUAAGGCAGGUUUAGAUUAGAUGAAGGAAGAAACACUUUAAGGGCGAGGGAAUGGCACAGGCUUCCCAGGGAGGUUGUGGAUUUCCCCUCCCUGUAGAUGCUUAAGGCUAGGAGGGAUGAAGCUUUGAGCAACCUGGUCUAAUGGAAGGUGUCCCUGCCCAUGGCAGAUGAUCUGUAGGGUUCCUUCUGACCCAAACCAUGGUGUGAUUCAAUGAUAAAGAGAUGUGUACACUAGAGUCAGGCUGUGUGUGUGGGUACCACCUUUGAGGUGUCUGAUUGAGCUCCUUCCAGCUUUCUACUUGUUCCAUUUUCAGAUAACACCUCACAGGCUGGGCUCAUAUCAAUAUCAACCUGUAAUGGGAGAGCAUUGGCACUGCACAAGCUCAACCCUGCACCUCCAUUCCUGCUGAAUUCAUCUUCCUUGUAACCUAUUUCUUGACAAAUACUGUCUGGAUACAAAAUAAAUAAAUAUACCUGACAAUAAUGAUGGAAUUUUUGUGCUUGUAGAAUUGCUUUGGCAACAUCUGUUUUUUCUAACAUUUAAAUAGAAAAAGCAUUACAAGCUUUCAUUUGCAGUUUAGGUAGCUGGGAGUUAAGUGGAAAAGCCUUUGUUUCAUCCCUGCUCAUUGCUAAAAAGCAUGGGGAAAUUGGUGAGAAAACAACCUGAUUAAUAUUAAGAAAUGGAACUGAAAGUGCAAAUUUUCUUGGCUGUGUUAUAAGCUGUGUUUGGUAAGUCAUACAACUCUUCACUUUACUUAGCUUCUCUGAGGCUCAGUCUGAUCUCUCUUGGGAGGUUUUGGAGUAAUGAAGAGAGACAGAACCAUGUAAGUGCUAAAUAUUGCUACUCUCAUUUAUUCUGUGCACAGUUUUUUAUUUAAGUGCUACAUUUUUGUAUCUUCCUUAAGAGGAUUACAGGGGCAUUUUCUUUCCCCUUUCCCUACAGUUCACAGAAGUUUGUAUAACUAGUUUAUUGGUACAAACUGAAAUCUCACAGAUUUCCCAUUGCUUCUAAAUAAAUUGCUACAUUACAUCAUCACCAUGUUUGUGAAGAAUAUACAUGUGUAGAAACUGCAGGUAAAAUGUGUGGAGCCAGGCAGAUACCCUGGUCUUGGUGCUGAUACUGAAUACUGUGGGCUAAGAAAUGUUAGUCAGUGCGACAGCGCUGAACACAAAGGGAUAACUUCCUCUUUCUUGUGGCACAAAAUCAAUGUAUAGCGUCAAGACUGUAUAUUGACAGCUUGAUUAUAAAGGACACUGAAUAUACUUGACCCUGGAAUAGCACCAGAAUGGAACAGAACAAGACAUUUAUACAGCACCAACAAGGGUAGCAUGCAUUAAAUCCUGCUUGCUAUUCUCAGUUACAUGAGAUAUUUUUAAAUCUUGUUACCAUUACCCUUUCUUUUUCAGAUCUUUUUGCAUUCUGUUUGAUUUUCUUUGGCACUCAUGCUUCCUCCACAUGUGUAGCUGGCAGUUCAGCUCUGUGACAAAGCUUUGUCACGACACACCACUCCUUGCUCUCCUGACAGAUCUUGCUUAGUUUGUGGGGGGAAGGCACAAGCCUGUCAUUGAGACUGGGUGAGAGCCAAAUGUUACAUGGGUUUUUGUCCUUUUGAUUUCUUGUAGCAGGAGGGAGGUUGAUGCCAUGGGGGAGUUGGCAGUGCCCACACUCAGACUGGGGUUGGUGGGAGCCACAGCAGCAGAACUUGGUCUCCAUCACCCUGCUGAGCAGUAAUUUGUCCUUCUGAGCAUAACAGCAAAGGAGCAAUCUCCAUGGCAUGUCUCUCUGCCUUCCUACGUAUGUUUUCCAUCCUGUUUCAGGUGUUAUGUCCUCUCUUAACACCAACUGUGAGUUAACUGGGCAAGAGUGCUGGUUAUCCUACCCACUUCCAGCUGGAGUAUAAGACACGGGACUAAAAUGAAAGACCGUAGUAAACAUUAUGAUUCAUUUCAUCCAAAAAGGACAAAAUGCUAAAAAUGGUAGCAAGAAAAAUCUCUGCCUUCUUUAUUUUAACUUGUGGAUAGCUGCAGUUCCUGAAAGCAUAUUAGGCAGUUGCAAAUGAGGGAGAAAUUAGUCUGCAGUGUAAUUGCUAAAAAUGUAUUUGUCACUACAAAAUUUGUGAGAAGUUCCAGUUUUCACAGGAGAGUGUAACCUCCUGCUUGUGAAUCACUUCUGUGGCUUUGCUUCCUACCUCAUUACUGCCUGACCCUGAGCAUUGCAAAACUUGAUCUCUCUUUUGCCACAGAAUAAACCACAGUGACAUGAUCUGCCACCUCUCCCUGACGCGUUCUGCUUCCAGUUACUGUUUCCUCUGUCAUUUCAUUGCUGGCAUAGUUCUCAUAAUACUGUUAUCUCUGUUUCAUUGUUGUUGCCCUUAUUUUCCUUUGGCAGUGAGCACAAAUUUCAAAAGAAAUGAAAGCUAUCUCAGCUGUUUCCUCAAGCAGAGCAGUCUCACCAGCCUGGCUAUCUGAUACACCCAUCCCAAAUAGGAUUUUGUUCACCCUUCUCUGCACAUCUCUUUUUUCUUACCAUCUUCAUUUCAGGAAUGACUAACUGAUGGGAGAAUCUAUCCCAAAGCUAAGGAGACACAAGCAGUUAUAUCAUUCCUUUUUUUCCUUUUUCCGUUUAAUUAUUUUUUCUUUUUAUUUUUUUCUAAUUUUGAAGGGCUAACAUUUAGAGACACAUCAUUCAUGUUUCUAGUCAGUAAGCAAAGGUCAGUCUGUGCUGUAAACAGAGCUGUGAUUGUGGUACAAGUCAGGACACCAUCCAAGCCUUAAUCACAGCAGCUUGUAACAAAAACAGGGGAGAUGCAGCAGGAUAAAUGUCAUCUGUUGCUCACCAUGUGGCUGAGGAUCCAGCAUCACACUGAUACCCAAGGAGCUGGAAUAACAUUGAUUCAAGUACUGCUGGAGCCAAUUAUUGCCCAAAUAUCUUCUUUGGUUUUUUUACCCCUCUUUGCAACAGAUCAGGAAGGAAUAGAGCUGUUUUAACUGAGGUGGGUGCUCAUCAUUCCCCUCCCAGUCUCAAGUUGUCAGGCAGGCACACAUUCAGCAGGGAAGAGUUGCCUUCCAUGAUCUCAGUGACUGUUUCUAGCAAAUUUAAGCAGGAUAUUAGAUUGCUAUUUUACAUUCUUGCAGAGCUGCUAAAGCACAGUGUGGAUAAAGUUGAGUGCACAUCCGUCAGGAGAGGAAACAUUAUCCCCUUUUUUUUUAUUAUUUAGAGAAUAUUGGUGCAUACAGAUGAGCUUGGCUCUGGCAAGUCACUUAGGGAGAAAAAACCUUCAAAUCAUUGGAAUCCACUUACCAUGUCAUUCUCCCUCUCAGAGUAACUUUCAGUCCUAAGAUCUUUGUAGGAAGCAGUUAUAUAAAUAAGGGAACUGAAACGUGGUGUGUUUAUGUGUAUGUUUGUGUAGUAUCCAUCACAAAAUGCAGCUGUCUCUGAGGGAUUUUGCAGUGCUUAAGAGGUGCACCACAUCACAAACCAGAUGACAGCACACAGGGAAGAUAACCUUAUGCAAUUAGAACUACAAUUUGCUACAGAGAAUAAAUCUGGCAAACUCAUCCCUGUCAAGUUGUUUAUCUGUUUAGCUCAGUUGCAUUAACAAAGAGAAGCCCAAAGCACUGUCUCCUUUUGUGCUGGGGGUUUCAGCACACUGAGCUAGAAGAUAGUCCCUAAAAUGGGUAUCUUAGGAUGUUAUGAUACAAGAUAAGAAGUGGAUGAGCAAAGACAUGGAGGGAGCAAAACUGAGACCUUUACAUUUAACAAAAUAAGCCAUGGUGACACCAUCUGCCUAACUCUUCUGGAGUGUUUUGUAGUCGAAUUCUCACGUAAAAUACCCCAAUUUUUGGGAGGAUUGCCAUAAAACCUUUACUGACUGCAGGGAAUCAGGAUUUUUGUUUAAAUCAUAUUUCUGGAAUGCUGUUACGAAAUUACACUUUUGAAUAUUUUAUCCAUGCCUUUGGUCUAGAAAUAAUCCAUCAAAUUGUGAUGGGAUGCAUGCUGUUAUUAGAGCUGAUUUUCCUGCUCUUGUUUGUUGUUGUAAUUUGUGGAGAAAGGCCAUAAGUUAAAUCUCUAAUUCACAAGUUUUAAUGUAAAUCAUAUCCCAUUACAGUACAUCAUAGUGAUAUAAUACAAUAUGUUAGUUUGCCCUAAGUGGAUGUAUUUGUCUCUAUUUUCUGGCUCAGAUAAUAGUUACCAUCUGGGUGUGUGUUAAUUUUUUGUUGUUGUUUCUUUUAAUCAUUUGUGUCGCUGCUUGUUCUAAAGCCGAAAAUGACUAAAAUUUGAAGCUGAUUUAGGAAAUUGCCUGGAGAAUAUCAAAAGGAACAUCAGACACUUUAAAUGCUUCACAUUUUUAACCUAUUACCAAGAACAUUUCAAUAGCCUUGAGGCAAGUUCCUCCCUUCGUUCUUUGGUAUCUGUCUUUGGAUAUCUUAUAAAAUCAGCAGCACUGGGGCUGAGCAUGAAGGAGAAGGGCAGAAUCCCAAACUUCAAACCCUUUCUUUUAUGUGGACUUAACAAAUAUCAGAUAGUGUUGUGAAGGGCUUUGGUGUCCCCCACCCCAAUGUGCAGGAUGCAGAGUGAUAUGUCCAGCCUGACUCCAAAUCCGGGUGUUCCUGUUUCUGGCUGCUGUGAGCAUUUGGGCUGCAGUCAGUUUUGUUUUAGGAGUCUGUGCAUAUAGCUGUAACAUUCAUUAUCUGUAUAUUUUUAUAUGCAUGUAUUUUGUACAUCCUUCAGGCUGUUUGAUUCAAUUUCUUGCAAAUCUCUAUGCCAAGCCAGUAACGAUGCAUCAUAUGAAGGAAUGUAGGUGCCUAAUUUGCACCUAAAUUUUAUGUUCUGGUGAAGAUGUCCCUGUAAAGUAAGUGCAUAAAUUCCUUAUAAAGCCACUGGGGAGAAACAGUUGCUUUGAAGACUCCCAAAGAGCAAUCUUUUCUACCUGACUUUGACACUUAAGUUGCUCUCAGUAGUGCUGUGAUCUUUUUCCUUCUGAUGAAAUCUCAGGGAUUUGAGGCAUGACUUUUUUUUAUCUUGUUCUGCUCUGGUGCAAGGUGACUGUGAUGGUCAAAGAUUACAAAGAACACACUGAAUUAAAUUUGGUCUCUGCUGGGGAGCAAAAUGUGUAAAUUCAGUUUUCUGUUUUGAGCACCUGUGAAAAUAUUUUAGAUGUUGAUUUGGAGAACAUUAAUGUGGGCUCCAAACUUUCACACUUGCACACGUUUAGGUAAGGAUAGAUGCUUCACAGCAUUACAUCUACCCUCUGACUGUUUCCUCAUGCACUGGCAGGCAUGUGGUUUUAACAACUUUGUGUUUCAAAUCCUGUAACUUUUAAAACCUGAGCAAAUACAACCCUCUUUAUUCUGGUGCACCACUGUCCUUGGUGCCAGAGAAGCUGUGAAUGCCCCAACCCUGGGAGCAUUUGAGAUCAGGUUGGAUGGAACUUUGAGGAACCUGCUCUAGUGGAAAGUGUCCCUGCCCAUGGCAGGGGGAGUUCAGAUACAGCUUUCUAGACUGCCUUUGAGCCCUUUACCUACUUUAAUUUUUCUCACUACAGACAGAGAAAGGGAGAAAUUAUCCCAACAGCUUUCCCAGACAAAAUAAAAAGUGUAAAUCAUAUUUUCUAAUUAUUUCUAUUCAGACAUGGAAACCCAAAUCACACAGUCCCUAAUGAUGUUACACACAAUGAAAGGAAGGGCCUUUACCCAAAGACUUGACUUCAUUGUGUCAUGAUUAGAGGCAACAAAUAAAUGAGAGAAAACAAGGGUUUGGUUAAAUGGAAAAGUCAUGGCUAUUUUCUCUCUUCAAACUGUUUUGAUAUGAUAAACUGUGAAAAAAGAAAUUACACAGGAGAAAACACUUGAAAUUACUACUGGUAUUGUCAAACAGUACCAUUUGCUUGAAUACCUAAUGUUCAGACAUCAGUAUUCGUCAGAAGCAGUCUUGAGAUCAAAUCCUCUGAGACUGACUUGAGUUUGAGAAGCAUCUUCCUUUGCUAUAGAAUUUUUCUUAUUUACAGUGUGACUCUGAUAAAGGUUUCUGGAUAUAAGAAGAUUUAUCUGGACCAGAUAUACAGCUACAUGAUAGAUAUAUAUAUGUCACCCCCAAUAUAUAUCGGCAUCCAAAUCAGACAAAA